rnacentral:rRNA from 1 species
GAUGAACGCUGGCGGCGUGCCUAAUACAUGCAAGUCGAGCGAACAGACGAGGAUCUUGCUCCUCUGACGUUAGCGGCGGACGGGUGAGUAACACGUGGAUAACCUACCUAUAAGACUGGGAUAACUUCGGGAAACCGGAGCUAAUACCGGUUAAUAUAUUGAACCGCAUGGUUCAAUAGUGAAAGACGUUUUUGCUGUCACUUAUAGAUGUAUCCUCGCCGCAUUAGCUAGGUGGUAAGGUAACGGCUUACCAAGGCAACGAUGCGUAGCCGACCUGAGAGGGGGGACAGGCAAACUGGAAAAGAGACACGGGCCAGAAUCCUAAGGGAGGGAGGAGGGGGGAAUAUUGGCCAAAGGGCGAAAGGCUGAACGAGGCAAGGCGGGUGUGGGAAGAAGGGCUUCGGAUUGUAAAAAACUUUUAAUUGGGAGGAAAAAAAGUAAGAAAAAAACUUGCAGGUUUGAAGGGAACAAAAGAAGAAGGCCAGGCUAAAUUCGGG